GAUGAACGCUGGCGGCGUGCCUAACACAUGCAAGUCGAACGGGGGCAGAUUGAAACCUAGUGAUAUCUGCCCGAGUGGCGGACGGGUGAGUAACGCGUGGACAACCUGCCGCAUGCAGGGGGGAUACCGGCUGGAAACAGCCGCUAAUACCGCAUAUGCGCACGGCGCCGCAUGGCGCUGCGCGGAAAGGGAGCGAUCCCGGCAUGCGAUGGGUCCGCGUCCGAUUAGCUUGUUGGCGGGGCAGCGGCCCACCAAGGCGACGAUCGGUAGCCGGCCUGAGAGGGCGGACGGCCACAUUGGGACUGAGACACGGCCCAG
rnacentral:rRNA from 1 species